CAGAUAUUGAGAUAUAUUGUCACUAACACUUUGGUGUGAAUUUAUUUCUCAGCCUUAGUAGCUGAAAACAUCAUGGAAAGUACUUAGAAAUUUAUCAAUGAAGCUAAAGCAGCCCCUUGUUUUUGCAAAUCACAUAUCCUUGGAACACAGCCAUGUCCAUUAGUUUAUAUAUUGUCUGUGGCUGCUUUUGCCCUGCAGACAGGCCUGAGUAGUUGUGAGAGAGACCACAUGGCUCUUGAAGCCCGAAAUAUUUAUUAUCUGACCCUUUACAGAAAAACUAUGUUGACCCUUUGUCCGAAGUUGUGAUCGCCAAUAAAGUAGCCCCCAGUAACAUGUGCCUGUUCAAUGCUCCUGCAUUUCACAGUUCCUUGCUGGCCUUCUGGUGAGAGAAACAGACUCCCUGGACCACGAACCAGACUUCACUCAUUGGGCAAGGAGGUCGCUCCGGACCUUCAGCUGAGAACCUGUGACCGUGCCAUACAUGAGAGCCCACACUCUGCCAUAGGCAGUGCUGGAGACAUCGCUGCCAUGAGAAGUGAGCUGUUUUCCUCAGGCAAGAUUUUCGAGGCUGGAAAAAUCAUUGCCUUCAGUCUGGGCGAUGCUUUGGCUUUCUGUGAGACGAUAUGUGAUGUAUUGAGAACCGGCAAAGAAAGGAGUGGGAUCUGAGAACCAUGUACGUAUUAACCGCUGAGCCACCCACGUGUCCCCUCUUUCUUUCUUUCUUCUUUCUUUCUUUCUUUCUUUCUUUCUUUCUUUCUUUCUUUCUUUCUUUCUUUCUUUCUUUCUUUCUUCUUUCUUUCAAAGAUUUAUUUAUUUAUUUAUUUAUUUAUUUAUUUAUUUAUUUAUUUCUUUCAGAGAGAGAUUGCGCACACACACAAGUCAGGGAAGGGGCAGAGGGAGAGGAUCUUCAAGCAGAAUCUCCACUGAGCACAAAUCCUGGUGGUAAGUUUCUACACAGGGCUUGAUCCCACCACCCUGAGAUCAUGACCUGAACCAAAACCAAGAGCUGGACACUUGAGGGACUGUGACUCUUCCUUUCCUUUUUUAACCUUCUACUCUACCUUCAAAACAACAACAACAACAACAAAUCCAAGAAUGAAAGAGGAUUAGUUUUUCCACCUUUCUAUUUUUUUUUUUUAAAGAUUUUAUUUAUUUAUUCAUGAGAGACAGAGAGAGAGAGAGAAGGGCAGAGACACAGGCAGAGGGAGAAGCAGGCCCCAUGCAGGGAGCCCGAUGCAGGACUCAAUCCUGGGACCCAGGAUCACGCUCUGAGCCCAAGGCAGAUGCUAAACCUCUGAGUAACCCAGGGAUCCCCUCUACCUUUCUAUUUUUGUUUUAAAAAAAUGACAAAUCUCCAAAGACAGAUACUGAGCUGAAAAUGUAUUACAUUUCUAUGGAAUGAAUCCUUCCUGCAUGACUGCUAAACUCCCUGACAUGAGAGCCACUUGGUGUUCUUCUGGAGCAGGGGUAGUGUGGGACACCAACCCCUCUCAUCAUAUCUUCAACAGCUAGAAACAUAGAUUCAACUGGAAUGUUCUUCAGAGCCAAUCAGCUGUAUGCAGGUCUCAGAAGCUCCUCAUUACUUUGUUCCCUUCAUUCCACUAGAGCAGCUCCAAGUCAUGACAACCAGUGAGGAUAAUUGACGUGAAAACACUCAACCCCAAGUGCCCAAGCUUUCCCAAAACAAUCACAGAAUUGUUCUGGGACCUGUUGAUGCAACAAGCCUCAUGCUGAGAAGUUUGGUCCAUAAUUAGCAAGCAGCAGCUGUCAAGCCCAUCAAAUGGUUUUAGGUGAUGAAGUGAAUGAGAUAAAGCAGUUUCUUCUUCUUCUCUGGCAAGGAAGACAGUCGGUUUUUGAGUGGAGCUGACACUUCUGUAAAGGAAACUAAGUGAAUUUGGCUUCUAUUUCACACUUGUGCUUUCCAGACUGCUAUCGAAUCUAUGAGGCUCAUCUCUCAAGCCCGGCUGCCCUGGACUCAGCUGGUGGGGCAGCAAAGCCUUAAUGAAGCUCAGGGAAAGCAAGAAAGGCUGUGGGUUGUAAGCCCCAUCUGCUCUACACUUGAAUAGCCCUCAAAAACCUCUGGGAAUUCUCAAAAUAGAGAAUGUUUUGCACUCCCUUGAUGCUAAAAGGAAGUUUGAUAUGUGAUCGUUUUAACCUUGAUGUUGACUUUUUAUAUUGGGGAAAUGUGAAAUGGUGUUGGGUGAAAGAAACGUUGGUGCUAGAGGAGUACCAUUCACUAGAUGACUGUGAUUCAUAUAAAUGUAGAUUUUUCUCUGCAUUUAAUGAAAACAUACCCUUGUAAAGAGAGGGGCAGAGCAGCAGAUGAGGAGAAACUUGAUGGAAAUUGUCCAAUUUCUGUGAGCCUUGGCUGUCUCACCUGCAACUGGGAAUAUUCAUUAAAUAAUUAGAAUCUUAUCCAACUCCAAAAAUAUGUGAAUAGAUGGAUGGUGUCCUUUACCAAAUAUUGUAACAUACAUAGUUACACUCUUGACAUGGUUUCAUACAAAAUCUCUCUCUCUUUUAAAGCUGUAUUAAUAUUUAUAUGUUUGGAGAUGCCUGGUGGCUCAGUGGUUGAGUGUCUGCCUUUGGAUCAGGGCAUGGUCCUGAAGUCCUGGAAUCGAGUCCCACAUUGGGCUCCUGUUGGGGAGCCUGCUUCUCCCUCUGCCUAUGUCUCUGCCUCUUUCUCUGUGUGUCUCUCAUGAAUAAAUAAAUAAAUCUUUAAAAAAAUGUAUAUGUU
rnacentral:lncRNA from 12 species